rnacentral:RNase_P_RNA from 1 species
CAUGCCUGCUGGGCAAUCGCUGCUGCAUCUUUAAGAUGUGGGGGAGGAAAGUCCGGACUUCAUAGAGCGCAGUAGCGGCUAACAGCCGUCCGCCGAAUCCAUAAGGCGAGGAAUAGGGCCACAGAGACGAGCGUAUUCAGUUACGGUGAAACGCGGUAACCUCUACUGGAAGCAACACCAAAUAGGCACACGUUGAGGCGGCUCGCUGAGUGUGCGGGUAGGUGGCUAGAGUUCGACGGUAACGUCGUUCCCAGAGGAAUGAUUGCUGUGCGCACAACUUGUUGUGGGCAUCACAGAAUCCGGCUUAUAGGUGGGCAUGGACU